GGAUGUGAGGCCAAUCUGGCUAUGACAUCUGCCACCCCAAGGUUGAUCUGACUGUCCUCUUAUCUCACUACUCUAUGUUUGUCCCUCUUGAAACUGUGCACUCAGCCAAAAGGGAUGACGUUCCCAGAGUGGAUAGAGAGAGACCAAGGGGAUGGAAAUAAGCAGUGCACCCCUGCUAGAACCCUCAAAUAAGCUCUCAAGAUCCAAGCGAGCUAGUUUGAUGGUCCUGUUUCUUACUCUUAAUACUUUAAAAAUGUGAUUUAUCCACUUGACAAAGUUGCUAUUU
rnacentral:snRNA from 1 species